rnacentral:rRNA from 2 species
UUAAGCGACUAAGCGUACACGGUGGAUGCCCUGGCAGUCAGAGGCGAUGAAGGACGUGCUAAUCUGCGAUAAGCGUCGGUGAGGUGAUAUGAACCGUUAUAACCGGCGAUUUCCGAAUGGGGAAACCCAGUGUGUUUCGACACACUAUCAUUAACUGAAUCCAUAGGUUAAUGAGGCGAACCGGGGGAACUGAAACAUCUAAGUACCCCGAGGAAAAGAAAUCAACCGAGAUUCCCCCAGUAGCGGCGAGCGAACGGGGAGGAGCCCAGAGCCUGAAUCAGUGUGUGUGUUAGUGGAAGCGUCUGGAAAGGCGCGCGAUACAGGGUGACAGCCCCGUACACAAAAAUGCACAUAUUGUGAGCUCGAUGAGUAGGGCGGGACACGUGGUAUCCUGUCUGAAUAUGGGGGGACCAUCCUCCAAGGCUAAAUACUCCUGACUGACCGAUAGUGAACCAGUACCGUGAGGGAAAGGCGAAAAGAACCCCGGCGAGGGGAGUGAAAAAGAACCUGAAACCGUGUACGUACAAGCAGUGGGAGCCUCUUAAUGGGGUGACUGCGUACCUUUUGUAUAAUGGGUCAGCGACUUAUAUUCUGUAGCAAGGUUAACCGAAUAGGGGAGCCGAAGGGAAACCGAGUCUUAACUGGGCGUUAAGUUGCAGGGUAUAGACCCGAAACCCGGUGAUCUAGCCAUGGGCAGGUUGAAGGUUGGGUAACACUAACUGGAGGACCGAACCGACUAAUGUUGAAAAAUUAGCGGAUGACUUGUGGCUGGGGGGGAAAGGCCAAUCAAACCGGGAGAUAGCUGGUUCUCCCCGAAAGCUAUUUAGGUAGCGCCUCGUGAAUUCAUCUCCGGGGGUAGAGCACUGUUUCGGCAAGGGGGUCAUCCCGACUUACCAACCCGAUGCAAACUGCGAAUACCGGAGAAUGUUAUCACGGGAGACACACGGCGGGUGCUAACGUCCGUCGUGAAGAGGGAAACAACCCAGACCGCCAGCUAAGGUCCCAAAGUCAUGGUUAAGUGGGAAACGAUGUGGGAAGGCCCAGACAGCCAGGAUGUUGGCUUAGAAGCAGCCAUCAUUUAAAGAAAGCGUAAUAGCUCACUGGUCGAGUCGGCCUGCGCGGAAGAUGUAACGGGGCUAAACCAUGCACCGAAGCUGCGGCAGCGACACUAUGUGUUGUUGGGUAGGGGAGCGUUCUGUAAGCCUGUGAAGGUGGCCUGUGAGGGGUGCUGGAGGUAUCAGAAGUGCGAAUGCUGACAUAAGUAACGAUAAAGCGGGUGAAAAGCCCGCUCGCCGGAAGACCAAGGGUUCCUGUCCAACGUUAAUCGGGGCAGGGUGAGUCGACUCCUAAGGCGAGGCCGAAAGGCGUAGUCGAUGGGAAACAGGUUAAUAUUCCUGUACUUGGUGUUACUGCGAAGGGGGGACGGAGAAGGCUAUGUUGGCCGGGCGACGGUUGUCCCGGUUUAAGCGUGUAGGCUGGUUUUCCAGGCAAAUCCGGAAAACCAAGGCUGAGGCGUGAUGACGAGGCACUACGGUGCUGAAGCGACAAAUGCCCUGCUUCCAGGAAAAGCCUCUAAGCAUCAGGUAACAUCAAAUCGUACCCCAAACCGACACAGGUGGUCAGGUAGAGAAUACCAAGGCGCUUGAGAGAACUCGGGUGAAGGAACUAGGCAAAAUGGUGCCGUAACUUCGGGAGAAGGCACGCUGAUAUGUAGGUGAAGCGACUUGCUCGUGGAGCUGAAAUCAGUCGAAGAUACCAGCUGGCUGCAACUGUUUAUUAAAAACACAGCACUGUGCAAACACGAAAGUGGACGUAUACGGUGUGACGCCUGCCCGGUGCCGGAAGGUUAAUUGAUGGGGUUAGCGGUAACGCGAAGCUCUUGAUCGAAGCCCCGGUAAACGGCGGCCGUAACUAUAACGGUCCUAAGGUAGCGAAAUUCCUUGUCGGGUAAGUUCCGACCUGCACGAAUGGCGUAAUGAUGGCCAGGCUGUCUCCACCCGAGACUCAGUGAAAUUGAACUCGCUGUGAAGAUGCAGUGUACCCGCGGCAAGACGGAAAGACCCCGUGAACCUUUACUAUAGCUUGACACUGAACAUUGAGCCUUGAUGUGUAGGAUAGGUGGGAGGCUUUGAAGUGUGGACGCCAGUCUGCAUGGAGCCGACCUUGAAAUACCACCCUUUAAUGUUUGAUGUUCUAACGUUGGCCCCUUACCCGGGUUGCGGACAGUGUCUGGUGGGUAGUUUGACUGGGGCGGUCUCCUCCUAAAGAGUAACGGAGGAGCACGAAGGUUGGCUAAUCCUGGUCGGACAUCAGGAGGUUAGUGCAAUGGCAUAAGCCAGCUUGACUGCGAGCGUGACGGCGCGAGCAGGUGCGAAAGCAGGUCAUAGUGAUCCGGUGGUUCUGAAUGGAAGGGCCAUCGCUCAACGGAUAAAAGGUACUCCGGGGAUAACAGGCUGAUACCGCCCAAGAGUUCAUAUCGACGGCGGUGUUUGGCACCUCGAUGUCGGCUCAUCACAUCCUGGGGCUGAAGUAGGUCCCAAGGGUAUGGCUGUUCGCCAUUUAAAGUGGUACGCGAGCUGGGUUUAGAACGUCGUGAGACAGUUCGGUCCCUAUCUGCCGUGGGCGCUGGAGAACUGAGGGGGGCUGCUCCUAGUACGAGAGGACCGGAGUGGACGCAUCACUGGUGUUCGGGUUGUCAUGCCAAUGGCACUGCCCGGUAGCUAAAUGCGGAAGAGAUAAGUGCUGAAAGCAUCUAAGCACGAAACUUGCCCCGAGAUGAGUUCUCCCUGACUCCUUGAGAGUCCUGAAGGAACGUUGAAGACGACGACGUUGAUAGGCCGGGUGUGUAAGCGCAGCGAUGCGUUGAGCUAACCGGUACUAAUGAACCGUGAGGCUUAACCUU